rnacentral:tRNA from 1 species
AGAGCCUUAAGUUAAUGAAAACUCUAAUCCUUCAAAGUUUAAAACAGAAAGCCCAACUUUCUAGGCUCUG